rnacentral:rRNA from 1 species
GUAAGGAAUAUUGGUCAAUGGACGCAAGUCUGAACCAGCCAUGCCGCGUGAAGGAUGAAGGCCCUCUGGGUUGUAAACUUCUUUUAUCUGGGACGAAAAAAGGGGAUUCUUCCUCACUUGACGGUACCAGAGGAAUAAGCACCGGCUAACUCCGUGCCAGCAGCCGCGGUAAUACGGAGGGUGCAAGCGUUAUCCGGAUUUACUGGGUUUAAAGGGUGCGUAGGUGGGUAGGUAAGUCAGUGGUGAAAUCUUCGAGCUUAACUCGGAAACUGCCAUUGAUACUAUUUAUCUUGAAUACUUUGGAGGUAAGCGGAAUAUGUCAUGUAGCGGUGAAAUGCUUAGAUAUGACAUAGAACACCAAUUGCGAAGGCAGCUUACUACACAGUUAUUGACACUGAGGCACGAAAGCGUGGGGAUCAAACAGGAUUAGAAACCCCAGUAGUCC